rnacentral:lncRNA from 1 species
UCCUGUGGAUGCUCAGGGGCGAGGGACCUGCCUGGGACACAGCGGGAAGAUGGGGAGCCCAGGCUGUGGCACCAGGCACGGCUGGCGACCCCACACUGAGCCUUGCCUGCUUCGCAGUGACCAGGUCCCUCUCUACUCAGGGUCUCUGAGCCACUGCGGGCUCAGGCAGGCUCAGCCUUGGGCUUGGCACAUGCGGGCGGCCGGUAAAUAUCUGCUGAGUGAGCCAACCCCGUGUCCUCUCGGCCCGGCAAGGUCUGGCCCGGAGCCUCGCCGCUGUUUCCUUCAUCAAGUCCUCCCAGCCCUGCUCCGGCCCGAGGAGAAGAGAAGGGUGAGCUCACCUGUCCACCACGCCCCAGGGCCUCAGCAGGUGUGGCUCACCAGGUGACACUUCUGUGCACAACAUGGGCGGAAACAACCGCUCGGUCCCGAGGCGGCCACAGGAGGCAGGAGCCAGGCCUUGUGGUGGCCCGUCCUUCAACAAGCUCGCCUGCUGACGGCCCCCAUCAUCCACCCAAGGGCCACCUCUCUGCCGGGCAGUGACCCCGACCUCAGAUCAGACUGAGCUUGUGCUGGCAGGCAGUGCCUGGGGGAUCCUCUGCUGGGAGGUGUGGGUGACUGGUUUCCUCUGGCCCCAGGGAGCCACCGGAGGUGUGCGCCUCAGCCUCCCAGGGCCCCACUGCCCUGCGCCCUGAGUGUCCGCAGCCCUGAGCUGCCCACCGACACAGCCCCUUCCCUGACGCCCCCCACCCCCCACCAGGGCUUUCUGGGAUCACUUGGCCCCGAUCGGCUUAUGGGAGCCAAACUGAGCCCUCUGCACAGGCGGGAAGUGGCAGAGAAGGAGCGUCCCCUCUUCUCCAGCCCCCCGCCAGGCAGAGGGAGCCCAGAGGCCCAGGGUGGUGCCAGGCCAGGCCUCGAAGUCCCAGCAGAGUGUGAGGCAGGCCCCUAUCGCCCCGGACCUCCCCGGGCCUCUCCACCGUGGGCUCUGCAGACGGGGUCCCGACUGAGAAGCUCAGCUGAACUCGUGACCAGACCUGCUGCAUCGUUCACUUUUAAAGCGUUUAAACAUAAAGGACCCAGCUGGAGACACGGUCCCCUCAGCCCAUCUCGGCCGUGGAAAAUGGGAAGCUGCCCAGGCCCCAGACAGCCCCCCGUCGGAGCCCUGGGACACAGGGGGCUGCCAGAUUCCAGGAAGGAGCCGUGUGACCGCCGUCCCGGUGACACUCCUGGCCCCGU